UCGGGAAUUUUGGGCAAUGGGCGAAAGCCUGACCCAGCAACGCCCGUGAGGGAUGAAGUAUUUCGGUAUGUAAACCUCGAAAGAAUGGGAAGAAUAAAUGACGGUACCAUUUAUAAGCUCCGGCUAACUACGUGCCAGCAGCCGCGGUAAUACGUAGGGAGCAAGCGUUGUUCGGAUUUACUGGGCGUAAAGGGCGCGUAGGCGGCGCGGUAAGUCACUUGUGAAAUCUCUGAGCUUAACUCAGAACGGCCAAGUGAUACUGCUGUGCUAGAGUGCGGAAGAGGCAACCGGAAUUCUUGGUGUAGCGGUGAAAUGCGUAGAUAUCAAGAGGAACACCUGAGGCGAAGGCGGGUUGCUGGGCCGACACUGACGCUGAUGCGCGAAAGCCAGGGAGCAAACG
rnacentral:rRNA from 1 species